UACGUAGGGGCUAGCGUUGUCCGGAAUCAUUGGGCGUAAAGCGCGUGUAGGCGGUCCGGUAAGUCCGCUGUGAAAGUCGGGGGCUCAACCCUCGGAUGCCGGUGGAUACUGUCGGGCUUGAGUACGGAAGAGGCGAGUGGAAUUCCUGGUGUAGCGGUGAAAUGCGCAGAUAUCAGGAGGAACACCAAUUGCGAAGGCAGCUCGCUGGGACGUUACUGACGCUGAGACGCGAAGCGUGGGAGCAAACAGG
rnacentral:rRNA from 1 species